rnacentral:rRNA from 1 species
AGUGAACGCUGGCGGUAGGCCUAACACAUGCGAGUCGAACGGCAGCACAGUAAGAGCUUGCUCUUACGGGUGGCGAGUGGCGGACGGGUGAGGAAUACAUCGGAAUCUACUUUUUCGUGGGGGAUAACGUAGGGAAACUUACGCUAAUACCGCAUACGACCUACGGGUGAAAGCAGGGGAUCUUCGGACCUUGCGCGAUUGAAUGAGCCGAUGUCGGAUUAGCUAGUUGGCGGGGUAAAGGCCCACCAAGGCGACGAUCCGUAGCUGGUCGGAGAGGAUGUUCAGCCACACUGGAACUGAGACACGGUCCAGACUCCUACGGGAGGCAGCAGUGGGGAAUAUUGGACAAUGGGCGCAAGCCUGAUCCAGCCAUACCGCGUGGGUGAAGAAGGCCUUCGGGUUGUAAAGCCCUUUUGUUGGGAAAGAAAAGCAGCAGGUUAAUACCCCGCUGUUCUGACGGUACCCAAAGAAUAAGCACCGGCUAACUUCGUG